GAUGAAGAACGUAGCGAAAUGCGAUAAGUAGUGUGAAUUGCAGAAUUCAGUGAAUCAUCGAAUCUUUGAACGCACAUUGCGCCCCUUGGUGUUCCAUGGGGCAUGCCUGCUCGAGCGUCAUUUGUACCUUCAAGCUUUGCUUGGUGUUGGGCGUUUUGUCUUUUCUCUUCUGAUUAGACUCGCCUUAAAGUCAUUGGCAGCCAGUGUUUUUGGUAGUAAGCGCAGCACAUUUUGCGUCUUAGUCCUUAAAUAGCGGCAUCCAUAUAGCUACUUUUUCACUUUUGACCUCGGAUCAGGUAGGGAUACCCGCUGAACUUAAGCAUAUCAAUAAGCGGAGGA
rnacentral:misc_RNA from 1 species